rnacentral:lncRNA from 1 species
CCUAAGUGGUCAAGAUACAUAAGAUCUCGUGGGGCUGACAGGCAGACAUCUCCUGCCUUCAAAUCCAGUCUUUCGAAUACUCUGUCACAAAGAUAGCUACUCAAUCUGCCAUGCUGUUCACAUGCAAAUUUCAAAUCAACCAAUCCGCAAAUCUUGGGAGCUGUAGCAGCCCCUCUUGCCAUAUGAAAAAUGUAAUUAUUUCUGCAUACCAAACG